GGAACUAAGCAGCAUCGCACAGAGCACAGUCUAUGUUAUAAAACCAGAACAUAUUUUUGAAAAUUGUUUAUUAGUGCAGUAUUACUUAUGCAGGACUUUGAACAUCCUGUAAGUGCCUUCCGGGUUUUUAAUUAUCGAUCUUUGAAGGAGGACACUAAAACAAGUUUUAGUUGGAAGAAUACUUUUUCAAAAGCUCCCUGAGCAUAUUAAGCCUUUAUUUGACUUGGAAAUUGGACAAUGAACAACAUUUGGCACAACCCAGAGUGAGGCUCAGUGUGAGGACAAUCCAGGCGUCGGCCCCUCUGAGGUUGAGAAUUGUGAUGAUUGGCAUCCUCACCAACCUCUAACGAUCUCACAACAAUGUGAAGAAAACCCCUUUGCUUUCAAUACAGAGGUGUAUUAUGAAAAUCGGUACUUUCCCCGGAGGAGGUGUACUCCAUUUAACAUCCCAGACAUAAUUCAGAACAUCCAUAUGGAGUCAACCAUGCUUGAAAACAGCACAGUGGUCCCAUUUCAGACUGGGGUGGCUGCUGUGAAUAUACCUCCUCAUCUAGGCUUCAUCGCAAUAGGACCAUCUCCAACCUGUGUCCAGGCAGCUCUACCACAUACCGAAGGCUCUUCCUCACAGCAUUCACCUCAACACCAGCUACUUUGAUGAUGGUGUUGCCCAUCUUCCCCGUGUAUUUAUACCUGUGUUCUCUGUCUGUCUGUUGCCAGUUCGUCUUGUUUGUCAAGCCUGCCAGCGUUUUUCGUCUCAUCUACUGCUUCUCAGUCUCUCUUUUUCUCGCCCUCCUGGUUUUGACCCUUGCCUGUCCCAUCUCCGAGCCCGCCUGCCUGACCACUCUGCCUGCCCCUGACCC